rnacentral:snRNA from 1 species
AGAUGUUAAGGCAAUCUGACUGUUGUAUCUACCAUCUCACUGAUACCAAAAAAAUGGUUCAGCUAAGAAGCUUGCCUAGAUUGUAAGUGUCAAUUUUUUCUUCAUCAGUACAUGUGUCCCUCUGAAGGCUGCACACUUAGUCGAAGAGGACAAAGUUGUAUGAUACUGGAAGAUUUUUCUCUAGUGUUAUGGAUUUAAACAGGUGCACUCCCUGUUAUAAUCUCUAAAAACCUCAAAGACUAUUUGUAGGAGAAUAUAGGGCAGUCAGGCUUCUACAUCUCCAGGCACACUGAAGAGAAGCAUUGUAUAUAGCAGUCUAUCCUAU